GAUGAAGAACGCAGUGAAAUGCGAUAAGUAAUGUGAAUUGCAGAAUUCAGUGAAUCAUCGAAUCUUUGAACGCACAUUGCGCCCGCCAGUAUUCUGGCGGGCAUGCCUGUUCGAGCGUCAUUUCAACCAUCAAGCCCCAGGCUUGUGUUGGGGACCUGCGGCUGCCGCAGGCCCUGAAAACCAGUGGCGGGCUCGCUGUCACACCGGGCGUAGUAGAUUUUAUCUCGCUCAGGGCGUGCUGCGGGUUCCGGCCGUUAAAAAGCCUUUUUUACCCAAGGUUGACCUCGGAUCAGGUAGGAAUACCCGCUGAACUUAAGCAUAUCAAUAAGCGGAGGA
rnacentral:misc_RNA from 1 species